GAUGAACGCUGGCGGCGUGCCUAAUACAUGCAAGUCGAGCGAACAGACGAGGAGCUUGCUCCUCUGACGUUAGCGGCGGACGGGUGAGUAACACGUGGAUAACCUCCCUAUAAGACUGGGAUAACUUCGGGAAACCGGAGCUAAUACCGGAUAAUAUAUUGAACCGCAUGGUUCAAUAGUGAAAGACGGUUUUGCUGUCUCUUAUAGAUGGAUCCGCGCCGCAUUAGCUAGUUGGUAAGGUAACGGCUUACCAAGGCAACGAUGCGUAGCCGACCUGAGAGGGUGAUCGGCCACACUGGAACUGAGACACGGUCCAGACUCCUACGGGAGGCAGCAGUAGGGAAUCUUCCGCAAUGGGCGAAAGCCUGACGGAGCAACGCCGCGUGAGUGAUGAAGGUCUUCGGAUCGUAAAACUCUGUUAUUAGGGAAGAACAAAUGUGUAAGUAACUAUGCACGUCUUGACGGUACCUAAUCAGAAAGCCACGGCUAACUACGUG
rnacentral:rRNA from 1 species